GAUGAACGCUGGCGGCAGGCUUAACACAUGCAAGUCGAACGCCCCGCAAGGGGAGUGGCAGACGGGUGAGUAACGCGUGGGAAUCUACCCAUCCCUACGGAACAACUCCGGGAAACUGGAGCUAAUACCGUAUACGCCCUUAGGGGGAAAGAUUUAUCGGGGAUGGAUGAGCCCGCGUUGGAUUAGCUAGUUGGUGGGGUAAAGGCCUACCAAGGCGACGAUCCAUAGCUGGUCUGAGAGGAUGAUCAGCCACAUUGGGACUGAGACACGGCCCAAACUCCUACGGGAGGCAGCAGUGGGGAAUAUUGGACAAUGGGCGCAAGCUUGAUCCAGCCAUGCCGCGUGAGUGAUGAAGGCCUUAGGGCUGUAAAGCUCUUUCACCGAUGAAGAUAAUGACGGUAGUCGGAGAAGAAGCCCCGGCUAACUUCGUGCCAGCCGCCGCCGUAA
rnacentral:rRNA from 1 species